AGGCGCGCAUUUUGCAUGAAAACGUUUGCUAAUGCUUUCAUUGCUCUGUGAAACAGGCACCCAGAAAACGAAUUGCACAUGGCUGCUAACACGACGGCGCCUCAUAUGUAGAAUUUUUACAU
rnacentral:lncRNA from 1 species